AGUAUUUAAACAACAUUUCAUAAACAACUAAAUUAAAAUGUGUAUAAUAGUCGAUCAUUGUUGUUGCACCAGCUGCAAUGCCAGUCUACGUUUUGGGUGUAUUUUCUAUGUCAUUUGGUCGAUUGUUUGGAGAAUAUUAUCAAUGGCGUCAACAUUCAUACCACAAGAAUCGACAGAUUAUAGUACUUCUUCGUCGUCAUGGAGAAUUAUAUUAAUUCUCGUGAAUGUGAUUUGUCUGAUUGGCCCUAUUUGUUUGUUAAUUGGACUCUUCAAGGACAUCAAAGUACUAGUCGUCGUAUCUAUAGUAGUUACAUAUCUGGUUGUGGCAUUUCAUCUUAUAAAUUUUCUGGUUGUGCCCAUAAUUAUGAUUAUAUCGUCUUCAGAAAUUAGUAAAGGUGCAGCUGUGGGUUCGUUUAUUUUUAUGUUCCUUGCAAUAUGUUGCCCCUUAUGCGCUUUCGAAGUGUAUAUGGCUAUUGUGCAAUAUUCAUAUUUAAAAACCGAAAUGUAGAGCAGUGGAAGCCAUCUUCAGAUCCCGAUACUAUAUACCAAACCGUAAGUUAAACAAAAAUUUAAUUGGGUAAAGGGAGUCAAAGGAACUGUGAGAGCCCACCAUUUGCUAAAUGUCUACCAAAUAAAGGCGGAUCAAGGGCACAACAUACGGAAAAGUUGCAGACCGUUAAGGACCAAAAUGUUGUUUGCAAAACAAUACGUCCUUAGUGUUUCUGAGGCCAGACCCUACUCCAUAUGCCGAUCUCAAACUGAUGACGCUCCCGCCCUUACCCUUCCUAAAAUUGUUAGGAAGGUCUACCACAACUGCAGAACCUACUCCAACUGCUCUCCGUUACAAGACGAGUCUCUCUCUCUCUCCAUACUAGAGCUAUUACGACUACAGAUGCGGAUUUUAUGUUCUGUUCGAUUGAGAGCGUCCAAUCAAUGGUUUCCAAAAUAUAUAUGGCUAUUAUGCAAUGUUUAUAAUUAAUUGGGAAUAAGGCCCUUUUAAAAUACACAGUUCGCUGCGUAAGUUCGAAACAAAUAUCUGGCAUGGCCGUCGAUAUCGGCAGAAUACGUUAGUCGGAUCCGCUUCCAAAAAUAAAGGUGACAAAAGACAUAACAGUUGUGAAUUGGGCGACGACGACGACCUAUGUCGACCAAUACAGUGAUGGCAAUAUGGGGCUUCGCAAUAACGAAAAUACCGAGUGGUUAGUAAUGCGAUUUAGCUGGAUAAAGGACAGCCGCAGCCUAACCAUCCAACCAACCAAGCCAAGUCAAGCAACAACUACCAAAGCGGAUUGUCGCUUUUGUGUAUGUUGUGUGUGAUGUGCCCACAAUAUGGCAAAAAUAGUGCAACGAAAUUCCAAACAGACCUCAACAUUGGCAGAAAUGCAGUCAAAAAAAAAAAGAAGAUAGCCGUUCGUUGAAAUGAAUUAUAAAUCUGUUUUGUGUCGAUCUUUAAAAAAUAUUUGGAAUAAGAUAUAGUGUAGAAAAAUA